GACGAACGUUUGCGGCGUGCUUAACACAUGCAAGUCGAACGGAAAGGCCCUGCUUUUGUGGGGUGCUCGAGUGGCGAACGGGUGAGUAACACGUGAGUAACCUGCCCUUGACUUUGGGAUAACUUCAGGAAACUGGGGCUAAUACCGGAUAGGAGCUCCUGCUGCAUGGUGGGGGUUGGAAAGUUUCGGCGGUUGGGGAUGGACUCGCGGCUUAUCAGCUUGUUGGUGGGGUAGUGGCUUACCAAGGCUUUGACGGGUAGCCGGCCUGAGAGGGUGACCGGCCACAUUGGGACUGAGAUACGGCCCAGACCCCUACGGGAGGCAGCAGUGGGGAAUAUUGCACAAUGGGCGGAAGCCUGAUGCAGCAACGCCGCGUGCGGGAUGACGGCCUUCGGGUUGUAAACCGCUUUCGCCUGUGACGAAGCGUGUGUGACGGUAAUGGGUAAAGAAGCACCGGCUAACUACGUGCCAGCAGCCGCGGUGAUACGUAGGGUGCGAGCGUUGUCCGGAUUUAUUGGGCGUAAAGGGCUCGUAGGUGGUUGAUCGCGUCGGAAGUGUAAUCUUGGGGCUUAACCCUGAGCGUGCUUUCGAUACGGGUUGACUUGAGGAAGGUAGGGGAGAAUGGAAUUCCUGGUGGAGCGGUGGAAUGCGCAGAUAUCAGGAGGAACACCAGUGGCGAAGGCGGUUCUCUGGGCCUUUCCUGACGCUGAGGAGCGAAAGCGUGGGGAGCGAACAGGCUUAGAUACCCUGGUAGUCCACGCUGUAAACGGUGGGUACUAGGUGUGGGGUCCAUUCCACGGGUUCCGUGCCGUAGCUAACGCUUUAAGUACCCCGCCUGGGGAGUACGGCCGCAAGGCUAAAACUCAAAGGAAUUGACGGGGCCCCGCACAAGCGGCGGAGCAUGCGGAUUAAUUCGAUGCAACGCGUAGAACCUUACCUGGGUUUGACAUGGAUCGGGAGUGCUCAGAGAUGGGUGUGCCUCUUUUGGGGUCGGUUCACAGGUGGUGCAUGGCUGUCGUCAGCUCGUGUCGUGAGAUGUUGGGUUAAGUCCCGCAACGAGCGCAACCCUUGUUCACUGUUGCCAGCACGUUAUGGUGGGGACUCAGUGGAGACCGCCGGGGUCAACUCGGAGGAAGGUGGGGAUGACGUCAAGUCAUCAUGCCCCUUAUGUCCAGGGCUUCACGCAUGCUACAAUGGCUGGUACAGAGAGUGGCGAGCCUGUGAGGGUGAGCGAAUCUCGGAAAGCCGGUCUCAGUUCGGAUUGGGGUCUGCAACUCGACCUCAUGAAGUCGGAGUCGCUAGUAAUCGCAGAUCAGCAACGCUGCGGUGAAUACGUUCCCGGGGCU
rnacentral:rRNA from 1 species